GAGUUUGAUCGUGGCUCAGAUUGAACGCUGGCGGCAUGCCUUACACAUGCAAGUCGAACGGCAGCACGGGAGCUUGCUCCUGGUGGCGAGUGGCGAACGGGUGAGUAAUGCAUCGGAACGUAUCCUGGAGUGGGGGAUAACGUAGCGAAAGUUACGCUAAUACCGCAUAUUCUGUGGGCAGGAAAGCGGGGGACCUUCGGGCCUCGCGCUCUUGGAGCGGCCGAUGUCGGAUUAGCUAGUUGGUGAGGUAAAGGCUCACCAAGGCGACGAUCCGUAGCAGGUCUGAGAGGAUGAUCUGCCACACUGGAACUGAGACACGGGUCCAGACUCCUACGGGAGGCAGCAGUGGGGAAUUUUGGACAAUGGGGGCAACCCUGAUCCAGCCAUGCCGCGUGAGUGAAGAAGGCC
rnacentral:rRNA from 1 species